rnacentral:rRNA from 1 species
CAAUAGCGUAUAUUAAAGUUGUUGACAGUUAAAAGCUCGUAGUUGGAUUUCUGGACCCGAGUGUCCCUAGGCCAGCAUGACGUUUGGUUCCUAGGCGCUCUGCCAUCCUUCUGUCAACCUUCGCCUUCUUCAUUGGGGGCGCUGGGGCUCAGAUAUUUUACCUUGAGAAAAUUAGAGUGUUUCAGGCAGGCUUUCGCCGGAAUACAUUAGCAUGGAAUAAUGGAAAAGGACUUCAACCUCUUCUGUUGGUCUGAGAGGCUGUAGUAAUGAUUAAUAGGGAUAGUUGGGGGCAUUAGUAUUUAAUUGUCAGAGGUGGAAUUCUCGGAUUUGUUAAAGACUAACUUAUGCGAAAGCAUUUGCCAAGGAUGUUUUCAUUAAUCAAGAACGAAAGUUAGGGGA